rnacentral:rRNA from 1 species
CACGUAGGGCGCGAGCGUUGUCCGGAAUUAUUGGGCGUAAAGAGCUCGUAGGCGGUUUGUCGCGUCUGUCGUGAAAGUCCGGGGCUUAACCCCGGAUCUGCGGUGGGUACGGGCAGACUAGAGUGCAGUAGGGGAGACUGGAAUUCCUGGUGUAGCGGUGGAAUGCGCAGAUAUCAGGAGGAACACCGAUGGCGAAGGCAGGUCUCUGGGCUGUAACUGACGCUGAGGAGCGAAAGCAUGGGGAGCGAACAGG